AUGAACGCUGGCGGCGUGCCUAACACAUGCAAGUCGAACGAAGCGGUUUUGGUGAAGUUUUCGGAUGGAACCGGAAUUGACUGAGUGGCGGACGGGUGAGUAACGCGUGGGUAACCUGCCUCAUACAGGGGGAUAACAGUUAGAAAUGACUGCUAAUACCGCAUAAGCGCACGAAACCGCAUGGUUUUGUGUGAAAAGCCGAGACGGUAUGAGAUGGACCCGCGUCUGAUUAGCUGGUUGGUGGGGUAACGGCCCACCAAGGCGACGAUCAGUAGCCGACCUGAGAGGGUGACCGGCCACAUUGGGACUGAGACACGGCCCAAACUCCUACGGGAGGCAGCAGUGGGGGAUAUUGCACAAUGGGGGAAACCCUGAUGCAGCGACGCCGCGUGAGUGAAGAAGUAUUUCGGUAUGUAAAGCUCUAUCAGCAGGGAAGAGAAUGACGGUACCUGAGUAAGAAGCCCCGGCUAACUACGUGCCAGCAGCCGCGGUAAUACGUAGGGGGCAAGCGUUAUCCGGAUUUACUGGGUGUAAAGGGAGCGUAGACGGCAAAGCAAGUCUGAAGUGAAAGCCCGGGGCUCAACCCCGGGACUGCUUUGGAAACUGUUUUGCUAGAGUGCUGGAGAGGUAAGCGGAAUUCCUAGUGUAGCGGUGAAAUGCGUAGAUAUUAGGAGGAACACCAGUGGCGAAGGCGGCUUACUGGACAGUAACUGACGUUGAGGCUCGAAAGCGUGGGGAGCAAACAGGAUUAGAUACCCUGGUAGUCCACGCGGUAAACGAUGAAUACUAGGUGUUGGUGGGCAAGGCCCAUCGGUGCCGUCGCAAACGCAGUAAGUAUUCCACCUGGGGAGUACGUUCGCAAGAAUGAAACUCAAAGGAAUUGACGGGGGCCGCACAAGCAGUGGAGUAUGUGGUUUAAUUCGAAGCAACGCGAAGAACCUUACCAAGCCUUGACAUCCCGAUGACGAAGGAGUAAUGUCCUUUUCCCUUCGGGGCAUUGGAGACAGGUGGUGCAUGGUUGUCGUCAGCUCGUGUCGUGAGAUGUUGGGUUAAGUCCCGCAACGAGCGCAACCCUUAUCCUUAGUAGCCAGCAGUAAGAUGGGGACUCUAGGGAGACUGCCAGGGACAACCUGGAGGAAGGCGGGGAUGACGUCAAAUCAUCAUGCCCCUUAUGGCUUGGGCUACACACGUGCUACAAUGGCGCAGACAGAGGGAAGCGAAGGCGCGAGCCGGAGCGAAUCCCAAAAAGAGCGUCUCAGUUCGGACUGUAGUCUGCAACCCGACUACACGAAGCUGGAAUCGCUAGUAAUCGCGGAUCAGAAUGCCGCGGUGAAUACGUUCCCGGGUCUUGUACACACCGCCCGUCACACCAUGGGAGUCAGCAACGCCCGAAGUCAGUGACCCAACCGGAAGGAGGGAGCUGCCGAAGGCGGGGCGGGUAACUGGGGUG
rnacentral:rRNA from 1 species